CUUCUGUUAUGAAGAAAGAAAUAUUAAAAAAGGAAAUGUUUUUAAUCUGACGUUACUUUAUUAGAAAGUCACGGCAAACUAUGUGCCAGCAGCCGCGGUAAUACAUAGGUGGCAAGCGUUAUCCGGAUUUAUUGGGCGUAAAGAGUGCACAGGCGGUUUAUUAAGUCAGUUGUUAAAGACCGAAGCUUAACUUCGGUAUGCAAUUGAAACUAGUAAACUAGAAUACAGGUGGGGGUAAUGGAAUUCCAUGUGUAGCGGUGGAAUGCAUAAAUAUGUGGAGGAACACCAAUGGCGAAGGCAGUUACCUGAACUGUGAUUGACGCUUAAGCACGAAAGCGUGGGGAGCAAAUAGGAUUAGAUACCCUAGUAGUCCACGCCGUAAACGAUCUAAACUAGAUGUUGCCGUUUUAUUUUGGCAGUAUCGCAGCUAACGCAUUAAGUUUAGCGCCUGGGUAGUAUGCACGCAAGUGUGAAACUCAAAGGAAUUGACGGGGACCCGCACAAGUGGUGGAGCAUGUGGUUUAAUUCGACGAUACGCGAAAAACCUUACCUACGCUUGACAUACUUGGCAAAGCUAUAGAGAUAUAGUCCGAGGUUAACCAAUGUACAGGUGGUGCAUGGUUGUCGUCAGCUCGUGUCGUGAGAUGUUCGGUUAAGUCCGGUAACGAGCGCAACCCCUUUUCUAUGUUACUAACAUUAAGUUGAGGACUCAUGGAAUACUGCCCAGGUAACUGGGAGGAAGGUGGGGAUGACGUCAAGUCCUCAUGGCCCUUAUAGGUGGGGCUACACACGUCAUAUUGCUGGAAAUAGUCAG
rnacentral:rRNA from 1 species